AUCUCCACGUUCUUGUGCAAUUUCCAAGGCUUUCUGAUGGUAUUGAAUAGCCAUUUGAAACUGUUUGUUCAAUCUGUACGCAUGUCCUAACACAUUGUACGCAACUGUUUUCUGUUGUUUAUCUCCACGUUCUUGUGCAAUUUCCAAGGCUUUCUGAUAGUACUGAAUAGCCGUUUGAAACUGUUUGUUCAAUCCAUAUGCAUGUCCUA